rnacentral:tRNA from 2 species
ACCCGUGUGGCGCAACCGGUAGCGCAAUCGGCUGUUAACCGAGCGGUUGAAGGUUCAAAUCCUUCCACGGGUGCCA